rnacentral:misc_RNA from 1 species
GAUGAAGAACGCAGCAAAAUGCGAUAAGUAAUGUGAAUUGCAGAAUUCAGUGAAUCAUCGAAUCUUUGAACGCACAUUGCGCCCGCCAGUAUUCUGGCGGGCAUGCCUGUUCGAGCGUCAUUUCAACCAUCAAGCCCCCGGGCUUGUGUUGGGGACCUGCGGCUGCCGCAGGCCCUGAAAAGCAGUGGCGGGCUCGCUGUCACACCGAGCGUAGUAGAUUUUAUCUCGCUCUGGGCGUGCUGCGGGUUCCGGCCGUUAAACCACCCUUUUAACCCAAGGUUGACCUCGGAUCAGGUAGGAAGACCCGCUGAACUUAAGCAUAUCAAUAAGCGGAGGA